GACGAACGCUGGCGGCGUGCCUAACACAUGCAAGUCGAACGGAAAGGCCCUGCUCUUGUGGGGUGCUCGUGUGGCGCACGGGUGAGUAACACGUGAGUAAACCCUCCUUGUCUUUGGGAUAUCUUCUGGAAAAUGGGGCUAAUAUCGGAUAGGAGCUUCUGCUGCACGGUGGGGGUUGGAAAGAUUCGGCGGUUGGGGAUGGAUUCGCGGCUUAUCAGCUUGUUUGUGGGGUAGUGGCUUACCAAGCCUUCGACGGGUAGCCGGCCUGAGAGGGUGACCAGCCACAUUAGGACUGAGGUAGGGCCCAGACGGCUACGGGAGGCAGCAGUGGGAAAUAUUGCACAGUGGGCGGAAGCCUGAUGCGGCAGCGCCGCGUGCGGGAUGACGGCCUUCGGGUGAUAAACCGCUUUCGCCUGUGACGAAGCGUGAGUGACGGUAAUGAGUAAAGAAGCACCGGCUAACUACGUG
rnacentral:rRNA from 1 species